UACAGAGGUCUCAAGCGUUGUUCGGAAUUACUGGGCGUAAAGGGCGCGUAGGCGGUUCUUUAAGUCAGGCGUGAAAGCCCUGGGCUCAACCUGGGAGUGGCGCUUGAUACUGGAGGACUAGAGAGUGGGAGAGGUUGGUGGAAUUCCCAGUGUAGAGGUGAAAUUCGUAGAUAUUGGGAAGAACACCGGUGGCGAAGGCGGCCAACUGGACCAUUUCUGACGCUGAGGCGCGAAAGCGUGGGGAGCAAACAGG
rnacentral:rRNA from 1 species